ACCAAGGGUCUGAGAGUAACGCAAUUUUAAUUCUCUGUAUGUAUGUGCUUGUACAUGUGGAAAAAUUGACAAUCAAGCAGACUUUGACUUGAUUUUGAAUAAAACUCCAUUAAAAGUUAUC